AUUUUGGGCCAUGGGUGCCAGCCUUAUUCCACCAUGCUCCCUGCAAGAAGAAAGCCCUCCGGGUGGAAAGCUCUUUCGGGACGAAAAGAAUCGCCUAGGCUUAAACCUCGCCCCGUUCUCCGGUCCGGCAAAAGUAGCACCCGCUAACUAUGUGACACGCGCCGCGGUAAUACGUAGGGUGCGAGCGUUAAUCGGAAUUACUGGGCGUAAAGCGUGCGCAGGCGGUUGAUUAAGACAGGCGUGAAAUCCCCGGGCUUAACCUGGGAACUGCGAUUGUGACUGGUCAGCUAGAGUACGGCAGAGGGGGGUGGAAUUCCACGUGUAGCAGUGAAAUGCGUAGAGAUGUGGAGGAACACCGAUGGCGAAGGCAGCCCCCUGGGCCGAUACUGACGCUCAUGCACGAAAGCGUGGGUAGCAAACAGG
rnacentral:rRNA from 1 species